rfam:Bacteroidales bacterium Barb4 Barb4_contig_687, whole genome shotgun sequence.
AGAGCAUCUGACUGUUAAUCAGAGGGUCCUUGGUUCAAGUCCAAGAGGAAGAG